UACGUAGGGCGCAAGCGUUGUCCGGAAUUAUUGGGCGUAAAGAGCUCGUAGGCGGUUUGUCGCGUCUGUCGUGAAAGCUUGGGGCUUAACCCCAAGUCUGCGGUGGAUACGGGCAGACUAGAGGCAGGUAGGGGAGAACGGAAUUCCCGGUGUAGCGGUGAAAUGCGCAGAUAUCGGGAGGAACACCGGUGGCGAAGGCGGUUCUCUGGGCCACUACUGACGCUGAGAAGCGAAAGCAUGGGGAGCGAACAGG
rnacentral:rRNA from 1 species